rnacentral:rRNA from 1 species
AAUGAACGUUGGCGGCGUGGAUUAGGCAUGCGAGUCGUACGAGAACCCGCAAGGGGGAAAGUGGCGAACGGGGUAGUAAUGCGUAGGUGACGUGCCCUAUGGUCGGGGAUAGCUUAGGGAAACUUAAGGUAAUACUCGAUAAUCCCGGGAGGUUUGAAGACCAUCCGGGCAAAGGUGUGAUUCCAUCAUAGGAGCGGCUUGCGUGGUAUUAGCUAGUUGGUGAGGUAACGGCUCACCAAGGCUUCGAUGCCUAGGGGAUGUUAGCGCAUGAUCCCCACCACUGGGACUGAGAUACUGCCCAGACACCUACGGGUGGCUGCAGUCGAGAAUCUUCGGCAAUGGGCGAAAGCCUGACCGAGCGACGCCGCGUGUGGGAUGAAGGCCCUUGGGUUGUAAACCACUGUCAGAGGGGAUGAAAUGCACGAGAGCUAUCUCUUGUGUUUGACAUAGCCUCAGAGGAAGCACGGGCUAAGUUCGUGCCAGCAGCCGCGGUAAAGUA